AACGAACGUUGGCGGCGUGCUUAACACAUGCAAGUCGAGCGCGAAUCCUUGCUUCGGCGAGGUAGUAGAGCGGCGAACGGGUGAGUAACACGUGAGUAAUCUACCUUCAAGUUUGGGAUAACGACCCGAAAGGGUUGCUAAUACUGGAUAAGACCACAACGCCCUUGGGCGACGUGAGAAAAGGCUUCGGUCGCUUGAAGAUGAGCUCGCGUCCCAUUAGCUAGUUGGUGAGGUAAUGGCUCACCAAGGCUUCGAUGGGUAGCUGGUUUUAGAGGAUGAUCAGCCACACUGGAACUGAGACACGGUCCAGACUCCUACGGGAGGCAGCAGUGGGGAAUCUUGCGCAAUGGGCGAAAGCCUGACGCAGCAACGCCGCGUGAGUGAUGAAGGCCCUCGGGUCGUAAAGCUCUGUCCUGGGAGAAGAAUUUUGACGGUAUCCCAGAAGAAAGCACCGGCUAACUCCGUGCCAGCAGCCGCGGU
rnacentral:rRNA from 1 species